AUUGAACGCUGGCGGAAUGCUUUACACAUACAAGUCGAACGGCAGCACGGACUUCGGUCUGGUGGCGAGUGGCGAACGGGUGAGUAAUGUAUCGGAACGUGCCCAGUCGUGGGGAUAACGUAGUGAAAAUUACGCUAAUACCGCAUACGAUCUACGGAUGAAAGCGGGGGAUCGCAAGACCUCGCGCGAUUGGAGCGGCCGAUAUCAGAUUAGGUAGUUGGUGGGGUAAAGGCCCACCAAGCCAACGAUCUGUAGCUGGUCUGAGAGGACGACCAGCCACACUGGAACUGAGACACGGUCCAGACUCCUACGGGAGGCAGCAGUGGGGAAUUUUGGACAAUGGGCGAAAGCCUGAUCCAGCCAUUCCGCGUGCAGGAUGAAGGCCCUCGGGUUGUAAACUGCUUUUGUACAGAACGAAAAGGUUUCUACUAAUACUAGGAGCUCAUGACGGUACUGUAAGAAUAAGCACCGGCUAACUACGUGCCAGCAGCCGCCGUAA
rnacentral:rRNA from 1 species